rnacentral:tRNA from 2 species
GUGGGUAUAGUGCAGUUGGUUAACGCGUCGGAUUGUGGUUCCGAAGAUCGUGGGUUCGAGUCCCACUACCCACCC